AUGCACUCGCUGCAUAACACAUUACUUUCUUCGAUUUAGAGUGAUUUUCACAACCUUGUUUCUGUAUUGUAUAUUUAGUUAGUGUUUGUGAUUACCAAAAAAAAAAAUUGUUUCUUCUUGGCUUAGUCUUUUUAUCUUUUUUUUUUUUUUUGCUUCAUCUAUUUUUCCUCCCAUGACAGAUGAAGACGGCAAGAGAUGCAGCAAAUCUCAUUUAUGAUCUAUCUGAAGAAUCAGCGUCAUCGAUUUGGAGACUCGAACCAUAACAAAAAGAGCAUCACAGUUUCAAUUUAAUUGCUCCUGGCGCUUCCUAUUUCAGCAACAAACAUUAAAUAAUUAAUCCAAUAGAGAUGAUAUAUAUGGAAAUUUCAAAACCAAAAAAAGAAACUUUCAAAACCAAAAUUGCGAAGCCAUAGAAAUCGUGGAUCAUGGAAUUGCGAAGACCAAUGUUGACAUAUGGGAAUUUGGUGUCCCAAUGAGCAGAGAUCACUAAGAUUGGUUUUCGGGAGGAACUUUUUGAGUUCAUGAUUUGAAGAAUUGUCUCGCCUAUAAGCUAUCGUCCAUAGUUUGAGAUUCAUGCGACAAGAAGAAGGUUUGAUUCACUUUCUCCAUUUAAUUGAAUCAUCUUCAUAGAUAUAUUUUCAUACUUAAUCAAUGUUUUUACCAAAAAAAUAAUGUUAUUUUAUUAUUUUGGUUUUAUGUGGUUUGGGAUUGGUGUAGAUUAUAAACCGAUUAAACCAAUGUUUUUGUGUUCUGAGAUUUCAAACUUUUGAACUAAAUAAAUAUACGUUUUGGGGAAUAUCCAAUAUCAAUAUGUAUCAUAGUUUGGACUCUAUCUAUUCCAGUAUGAUAAUUCCCGUGGAAAAAUAUAUCAUCGUCUCUAUUUUAUACAUGCACUUGCAACACAAACCAGCCAUAAAGUGGGUCUAUUCUUAUAAUUUAUGACAACAUGGAACACUAUCAUUGGGCCACGAUGCAAGGAGCGAAGGAC
rnacentral:sRNA from 1 species